rnacentral:rRNA from 1 species
CAAUAGCGUAUAUUAAAGUUGUUGCGGUUAAAAAGCUCGUAGUUGGAUAUCUGUGUUGGAUAUUGGGUCUUGGGAAACCGAGUUACUUCAAUAUUUGGCAUAUAUUUUGUGAGGCUCCAUUCUGGCAUUAAGUUGUUGGUUUGAUAGGCUUGCAUCGUUUACUGUGAAAAAAUUAGAGUGUUUCAAGCAGGCGUUUGCUUUUAAAUACAUUAGCAUGGAAUAAUAAGAUAUGACUUGUGUGGUCUAUUUUGUUGGUUUGCACACGCAAGUAAUGAUUAAUAGGGACAGUUGGGGGUAUUCAUAUUUCAGUGUCAGAGGUGAAAUUCUUGGAUCGCUGAAAGAUGAGCUUAGGCGAAAGCAUUUACCAUGGAUGUUUUCAUUAAUCAAGAACGAAAGUUAGGGGAUCGAAGACGAUUAGAUACCAU